rnacentral:rRNA from 1 species
GACGAACGCUGGCGGCGUGCUUAACACAUGCAAGUCGAACGGAAGAGCCCUGCUUUUGUGGGGUGCUCGCGUGGCGAACGGGUGAGUAACCCGUGAGUAUCCUGCCCUUGACUUUGUGAUAACUUCAGGAAACUGGGGCUACUACCGGAUAGGAGCUCCUGCUGCAUGGUGGGGGUUGGACAGUUUCGGCGGUAGGGGAUGUACGCUCGGCUUAUCAGCUUGUUGGUGGGGUAGUGGCUUACCAAGGCAUUGACGGGUGGCCGGCAUGAGAGGGUAACCGGCGACAAGACGACUGCGAGAGGGCCCAGAGUCGUACGGGGGGCAGCAGUGGGGAAUAUGGCACAACGGGCGGAAGCCUGAUGAAGAGGCGCUGCGAUCGGGAUGACGGCUUUCGUGUUGGAAACCGCUUUCGCUUGAGACCAAGCGGGAGUGACGGUAAUGGGUAAAGAAGCACCGGCUAACUACGUG